GGCCAAUUUUUUUUAUUUUUGCCCUAGGACCUCCGGUAUGUUUGAGCCGGCCCUCGUUCUCUGACAUCAGCAAUGGAGUUUCCAGAGACUGAGUGGCUCAAAUCGAGAAGAGUUUUUUUGUUGGUCUUCAGUCGCGACGUUUAGUCUUCUGUUAUUAUCAACCGACAAGUUACGGAUUCUUCUCCUUUAUUGCCUUCUUAACGCCAUAGACCGACGUGAAGCAUGAUCUGAUAUUGAAUGCAACUUAUCCCUCUGCAAGGCGGUGUAUCUACACCUAUAAAAAGCUCAUUGAUCCUCCUUUCUGAUUUGAAGUCCGACUGCUGCUCCUCCAUGGUUGAAGUGCGAUUGCACUGAUGAAAUUUCAGUUGAAGAGGAAACGUCAAUGCUUUGGUCAAAAGGUUCGAUAUCAGAGCAGCAGCCACGAGUGAAAAGAUAAUUUGUGUGUGGCAUUAAUCCAGAUGCGUCUACUAGAGCUUGAAAACUCAUCUAAUCUGAAAUAUACUAAGGAUUAUCUAAGGAGUCUAAUGUUAUUGCUACGAACCUUAGCAAGAAUGUGAAACCUUGCUGUCUCAGGUUUACUGAACUACGAGAACAAGGAAGAGCAUGACUGCUGCCAUUCAUGUGAGGAUGUUCGUGACACAUUUAGAAACAAAGGUUGGGGUGUUACAAAUCCAGAUUUGAUUGACCAGGUGAGGUGUUGAUAAAAAAGGUUUGUCACCUUAUUGCUUUAAAUGUCAAAAUAUUUGGUUUAUAAUCCAGUAACCAAUCAGAUUCUAAAAUAUAUAGUCUUAACUUUUAUAGUCCAGUACUCCUAAAGAUCUUAUGUAAUUUCAAUUUAUUGUAAGAGUAUCCCCUAGCUGAUCACUGAGAAAACGGUUACCAUCCUCACUUGAUUGCUCUUGAGCAAGUUAUAAUAUGUCUACGCUCAUACGAUCUUCUUGAAGGAUUGGGUUCACAAGUCUGUGAUUAAUACAGUGAGGGAUUAAGGUGACAAACGUGGCCAUAGCGUCGUUGGAAAUGCGGGAGUGAAGUUAGCCACAUUGCAGCUGGUGUACAUGGAGAAUUGCAAUUACCUUACUGUUGAUUUCUUCAAGAAGCUUCUCCCGCUCCGAGAGUGCCCAUUGUUUUUCUCGGUCGUGGUCAGUGGCUGAGGCACAGAAGAGACUUCUAGGUUAUUUAAUUUUUCUGAGAUGUUCUGCCUGGGGAGUGGGAAGACAUCAUGCCGUAUCGUUUUAUUACAACAACACAGUUUGUUCUGCUGUCUCUUUGUCUGUAUUCACUUUUGACCAUUACCUUAUAUGCAUGCGCUCAAACAUAUCAACGAUAUUUUUUAGUUAUGUAGAGAUCUUUACUCUUUUCAUGUUGUCAGAUUCUUUUGUUAGUUGCCAAA